CGACUAAGCGUACACGGUGGAUGCCCUGGCAGUCAGAGGCGAUGAAGGACGUGCUAAUCUGCGAAAAGCGUCGGUAAGGUGAUAUGAACCGUUAUAACCGGCGAUGUCCGAAUGGGGAAACCCAGUGCAAUUCGUUGCACUAUCGUUAACUGAAUACAUAGGUUAACGAGGCGAACCGGGGGAACUGAAACAUCUAAGUACCCCGAGGAAAAGAAAUCAAGCG
rnacentral:rRNA from 1 species